rnacentral:lncRNA from 1 species
AUAAUGAACACAUUAAUCGAUACAAUCAGUGAAAAAUUAAUAAUUUUAUCCUUAUUAAAUGUACAUUUUUUAGUGUCAAUCAAUGGUUAAUAUAUUUAAGAUCAAAUUCAUUAUAAAAGUAUUGUUGGAGAUAUGCAAUAUUCAGUGUUGACAGAACUUGGAUAUUGUCAAUUAUUGGCAAAAUUCGAGUAUGAGUUCGUCAAUUCUGAUUUUGAACCUGGAUGACAAUUUGCUACACCAAAUCUAAAAAUAAACCCAAAUUUUUAAACUCUAGGCACAAGCCAGCUUCAUUCUGAAAAAAUCUGGGUUUUUAGAAUCCAGGUUUUAAACCUGGAUAAGCACCAUUUUUAGAAUUGUUUCCGAAUAGAAAAACAGAGGCAAGGAACUGUCAAUGUUCAACUUCGCACAAUAUUUUUUCCAUAAUCAAUUGCUUCAAUAUUAAAAUAGAAAUAAUAUUUAAAUCAAAGAGGAAAAUUGAUUAAAGAAUAUAAUAAAACAAUUAAGCAAAAGUGCAAAGCAAAACAUAAAUUUUGUGAUGGUUAGCUUGUCAUCCUCAAACAGAAGCUAAAAUGAUAGCAAAAUAGAACAAAAUGGUGAUGGGGAAUGAUAAUCCAGUGAAUUUGUGUCACUGGUCACUGCCGUGUCUACAUUCAUGAAUCCCAAUUCGUCACUCCAUGCGUGUGAUUAUCUACUGCCAGCUAUGAUCGUGAACGAGUUUAGGAGUUAUUGAGAGAUUCAAGCCUUCAAUGAUGAUUGAUGACGAACUGAUGAUGAUUUUAUGGUGAUAAUGAUUUGAACUGAUGAAUUUGGGAGAUGAAAAUGAGAGGAAAUGGUGGCGGUUGUGUUGAGCUAAGAGCCUAAAAUGUAAACUAAGGUUUGUUUGUUUUUUUUUUUUUCUUAUUUUUUGUUUUUUAUAUUUACAUUAAAAAUAAAUAUAUUUAGCUCAGGGUAUUGGACAUACAGGUUCAAAUGAAUCUGGAACCAAAUCAGAAUAUGUUUGGUUUCAAAAAAUUAACACUAGAUAUGCAUAUUAUUUAAAUGCGGUUCAUAUUUAACCUGACCCAGAUCAUCCGGCUUCGAGCCAGGUCUGAGUUAUUUUGCCAUCCCUAAUCUCAUCAUACCGGGAAGAAAAAACAUCUAGUCUAAAUAGAGUACAAUUCCACAUCAUUAGAGGUUGUUAAGCAUCAAUGACAUCUCAUCAUAAGUUUGUUAAGUUUGUUGUUACGUGCACUCUAUAUUUCAAAUGAAGAUUCACUAGGUUAAAUUUAGUUAAUAAUGAUUAGUUACCGAUUAAUCAAUGAUGAAAAGUUGUCCAUAAAUGCUGAUAUAGAAAAUAUUCUGUGAGAAAAAGUCCAAACAAGUUGAAUUCUUAUUUUCUUUAAACAUCAAGUCUGAAUAUUUGAUAAAUUGUAGCAGCUUUUUGGACUUCAAUUUUAUUACUAGUCGACUUUUAAUCUUUUAAAAAAAAAAAACAUAGUUGGUAUAAUUUAAAACUCAAACAAAUCAGUCAUUUAACAUAUGAUAAAUAGGGAUAAAUAGUACAUUUUAACAAAAAUUGACAUACAAACAAGAUGUUUCAGUAAUCCUUCUUCUUCUUCUUCUUCUUCUUCUUCUUUAAUGCAAUAACUAAACAUGUUAUAGCUAGCUCAAAUUCUAAGGAUUAAAAAGAGCAUUUACCAAUUUUUUUUUUCAGUAAAAGAGAAAAAGAAAAAAGAACAGUCUAGCUCUCGAGCUACAAUAAUAAGAAAAUUAAAUAAAUUAGUCAAUGACAAUUACCCCCAAAUACGAUUUGCAGAAAAUUAAAUUAGUCAAUGGCAGUUAAAAAUCCAUCACAAGUUGCGUAGCUUAUACAUUUUUCAGGUUGGAUUCGUGUUCCGAGUGUUUGUUCCCAAAAUGGAAUCUCAAAAUCUCAAUAAACACACGAUGCUUUGCUUUCUGCGUUCCGAUCGUGUUUGUUUCCAAUAUGGAAGGAAUCUCAAAAUCUAAAUAUACAUAUGAUGCUUUUUGCUAAUUAUUAUAUUUCUUCUCUUUUCUUUUUUCUGAAAAUAACUUAUUAUUUACCUUUGGUUACGCAUGCACCGACUUGUGCUCUUGUGAUCAAGUAAUAGCCUCCCUCCCUCCCUCUGCUUUCUCAUUAUGUAACUCAUAAUCUUAAGGGAAAAGUGACCCACACUACCAAAGUUUGUUUAAAUAGUUAUAUACAUUUCCUUUUAAUUUCAAAAAUAAUCAUAUACACUUUUUUACUAAUAAUUAUUAUACCCUUUGAUUGCAGUGAACACUUAUAUAGUAAAUAGAAUUAAACAAAGAUAAAAAUAAUAAAUAAAAUAGAAUCUAAUGCAAAUUAUUUUCAAUAUCAAGUACUAAGUUAUUAUAAGUGUGUCCUAACAAAUUUUAUUAAUACUUAAAUCCAUUAAUCCAAAAAUUAAAUUUAAAUUUUUGCCAAUAUAGACAUGACAUAAAGUAUAUUUUAAAAUUAUAAGCUAGAUCUUGUAAGUAUUAAAUACAGUCCUUAUUUCAAUUUUAUUAAUCCAUGAAACAAAUUUUAUUAAUAAUAAAACAUAUCUAAUAGAUUAUUAGAAUAACUUUUUACUAUUCAAAAUAAUAUAUAAAAUUGAUUUUAUGUAUUAUAUUAUUUUAAU